rnacentral:rRNA from 1 species
CCUACGGGUGGCAGCAGUCGAGAAUCAUUCACAAUGAGGGAAACCCUGAUGGUGCGACGCCGCGUGGGGGAAUGAAGGUCUUCGGAUUGUAAACCCCUGUCAUGUGGGAGCAAAUUAAAAAGAUAGUACCACAAGAGGAAGAGACGGCUAACUCUGUGCGAGCAGCCGCGGGAAUACAGAGGUCUCAAGCGUUGUUCGGAAUCACUGGGCGUAAAGCGUGCGUAGGCUGUUUCGUAAGUCGUGUGUGAAAGGCGCGGGCUCAACCCGCGGACGGCACAUGAUACUGCGAGACUAGAGUAAUGGAGGGGGAACCGGAAUUCUCGGUGUAGCAGUGAAAUGCGUAGAUAUCGAGAGGAACACUCGUGGCGAAGGCGGGUUCCUGGACAUUAACUGACGCUGAGGCACGAAGGCCAGGGGAGCGAAAGGGAUUAGAUACCCUAGUAGUC